AUUGAACGCUGGCGGCAUGCCUUACACAUGCAAGUCGAACGGUAACGGGCCUUCGGGUGCCGACGAGUGGCGAACGGGUGAGUAAUGUAUCGGAACGUACCUUUCAGUGGGGGAUAACGUAGCGAAAGUUACGCUAAUACCGCAUAUUCUGUGAGCAAGAAAGCAGGGGAUCGCAAGACCUUGCGCUGAUAGAGCGGCCGAUAUCAGAUUAGCUAGUUGGUGAGGUAAAGGCUCACCAAGGCGACGAUCUGUAGCGGGUCUGAGAGGAUGAUCCGCCACACUGGAACUGAGACACGGUCCAGACUCCUACGGGAGGCAGCAGUGGGGAAUUUUGGACAAUGGGGGCAACCCUGAUCCAGCCAUGCCGCGUGAGUGAAGAAGGCCUUCGGGUUGUAAAGCUCUUUCGGCCGGGAAGAAAUCGUAUCAGCUAAUACCUGGUGCGGAUGACGGUACCGGCAUAAGAAGCACCGGCUAACUACGUGCCAGCCGCCGCCGUAAAAC
rnacentral:rRNA from 1 species